rnacentral:rRNA from 1 species
CAAUAGCGUAUAUUAAAGUUGUUGCAGUUAGAACGCUCGUAGUCGGAUUUCGGGGCGGGCCGACCGGUCUGCCGAUGGGUACGCACUGGUCGGCGCGUCCUUCCUUCCGGAGACUGUUCCUACUCUUAACUGAGCGGGGGCGGGAGACGGAUCGUUUACUUUGAAAAAAUCAGAGUGUUUCAAGCAGGCAGCUCGCUCUUGCAUGGAUUAGCAUGGGAUAAUGAAAUAGGACUUUGGUGCUAUUUUGUUGGUUUCGAACACCGAAGUAAUGAUUAAAAGGGACAGUCAGGGGCACUCGUAUUCCGCCGAGAGAGGUGAAAUUCUCAGACCAGCGGAAGACGAACUACUGCGAAAGCAUUUGCCAGGGAUGUUUUCACUG